AGACCUACAAAAAAGUAACCAGAGGAGAAACACGCCCUUUGUAUCGUUAAAAAUUUUGUGUUUAUUUUUCUUAUUGUGUUUCGUGUGUGUGUGUUUAGCGAGCAUCUGCCGUGGAGUGGAGUGGGUAACUGCUCAACAAACACCUCCACCGAUAACAAAUUGUAACCAUCCCGAGAUUGUGGCACACAACGACAAAUUUUCACAUUCGUAUUGUUUCCAUACGUGCGGCUUCUUGGAAGCGAUGACGGUGACGAAUACGACGCCAUUGUUGAACUUUCUCAGCAACGGGCAACCCUUUGGGGAUGCAGCGGAGGGGUAUUGUGCGCCAGGGGGACAUUGCGUCUGCCAAGCGGCCUGUCCUCUGAGCGUCCCCCGGCAAGAAACGACGCCAGACAGGAUUCUUUGUCCUAUUGACCCCACUUCGCUGAACCCGAUCCCUUCUCCAACCACCAUAACUAAUUGCGUGUCCACCUGCGCCACUCAAUGUGUUGGGGGUCAGCCCCGAGUUU